rnacentral:tRNA from 1 species
GGUAGCUCAAUGGUAGAGUGCCUGUCUUGUAUGCAUGAGGCUCUGGGUUCAAUUCCUUAGUACCA